UUGCCAACAAUUGAUAUCAAAUUGACCCAUUUAGCCAGUCAGUACGAAUUCAAUAGUCGCGCCCAAAGCAACGGCAUUAGUUUCUCGUCACAGACCGUUGCCUUAAGUCCUUAAGUCCUGUCCAGCCGCUUGAAGUCGAAGUUGGUUCGCAUACGAAAAGCCAAACCGAAUGAGAAAAUUGCGCAGUUGUUGUGAUUACAUAAUCGGAAGUACUUAGUGUCCGAGUGAGAGCUGCCAGUCCUAGGACUGGUCGAGUGCCAGCUAGGUAGAUUUCGACAAAUUUGAAAAUUUAU